CGCUCCGUGGCUUAGUGGAUAGCACAGAUGUUUUGGAAAUUUUCAUCGCGGGUUCAAACCCCAUUGGGGUCA